UGUGUUUCAAGCUAAACAUUGUGUUAUAUUGCUUUUGACUGAUGUGUUUUUUUAUUUUUAUCUUGGAUUUUUUUUUUGCUGUUUUUCUUGAUCAGUUGUGACUGCUGGCCAUGUUGCUAAAAUAGUGCCACCCGAUAACUUAAGUUUAAUUCUUGACCAGAAUAACAAGAAAAUUUGUUGGUCAGUUCUCGGCUUACCUUACAUUAAUGGUUGGCUGCUCAAAGCUCAUAGAUCAUUUCACCUUGUUAGUUCAUGUCUCAAUCAGGCACCCCAUCUUUG
rnacentral:lncRNA from 1 species